rnacentral:misc_RNA from 1 species
CAAAUGUCAUUUGUCAAUUGUCAUGCCAAUAUAGCUAUGCUUGUCAAACCAAAUCAUGUUGAAAAAUAGGUGAAAUAAACUUUUCCAAGCUACUAUUUUCGUGGCAAAAUAAUGUCUUUCAAUUUAUCAGAAAAAGAAAGCAAAAUGGGCUUCAUUGAUUAUUUUAAUCAAGAUCAUUGUUACUUGGAAGACCGUCAAGAUACAAAUCCGGAACAAAUCCAAUCUAAUAUGGAAAUAACGAAAAGUUACGACCAAAUGGAAACAUGCAAUUCCAGUUCCACGAAGCAAGGAAAUGAGAAUGCUCACAUUAUUAUGAAAUGUCAAGAAAAGGAUCAAAGAAGCACAAAAACUGGUAGUCAACAAAUAAUAUAUCUACCACCUGUGGGAUAUUGUACUGAACAUGAAGAUUUGUUACUGCAUGAGGACCAGAGACUCGUAAAACCUGGGGAUAAAUUUAAAACGCACAAUGAUUUUGUGCAAUAUUUAAAUGAGAAUGCAAAGAGAUGGUUCUAUUAUUACAAAUGUUCAGAUUCUAGAAAACCUAAUACAGACCAAGAGAUGUAUUUAUAUAAUUGCGUUUACUUGAGGAAUAAAGAGAAGUAUGUGAAGAAAGGCCUGAGAAAGCGAAAUAAUAGUUUAAAAACCAACUGUCCAUGCAAGAUUAAACUAAGGCACCUUCCAUAUGAAAAUGAAUUGACUGUAAUAUUUGUUUGUAAUCAUCAUGACCACCCAUUGUCAGAGGAAGCAUUUUACAAACUCCAACAUGGGAGACGUUUACCACCUUAUGUUAAAGAAGAGAUAAUGGAUUUACUUACGUUGCAAGUGGACAUAGGUAAAAUAAGAAAAUAUGUACAAAAUGCGACAGGAUUUAAUAUGAGUCGAGCUUUUUUCUAUACAAUGGAAAGAACAAUGAAGUCAAGAAAUGUGGAUAGGCAGAUAUCUGAUGAGAGGUUUAGGACAUUAUCUAAAAGACUAAGUGAAAAUAAUAUUAUACUUGAUUCAAUGGAUAGCAAAAGAUUGAAGACUAACAAUUUUGAAGAUAAUGUAAACAAUGAGACUGACACUUUACAAAGUAUGAAUAAUUUACAGGAAUAUACCAAAUGUGAAACACAACACAAUCCUUGGGUAACUGAUCAGUGCGUUCCAGUUCUUCCUAAUGGAGAUUUAACAAUUACCAACAAAAACGACGAUAUAAUGUCUGGAGUAGAAUCGCAUAACAGUGAUAUUAAGGAUAAUAUUGAAAUUAUUGUCAAUGACAGAGCUGAAUAUAAUCAUAAAAUAGAAUGUGAUGUAAAUAAAACAUUUGAAACUGAUGAAGACUGUAGUGUGGCUUACGAAACUUUUGUUUCGGAAACUGAUAUUGAAUACGAUGAGAAUGUCAUUAGUGAAUACAUUUACGAUGAUGCUGAAUAUUGCAAUGAUUCGAUUGAAAAAACUAACAGCGAAAAUACAGUCAAAGAUACUAAUGAAGCAAUCAAUUGUAAAUAUGAAAAUGAUGCUGAAAUUGUAGAAUAUUUUACGUACAAUGAGAAUGAAAACAUUCAUAAUUGUAAAGAAGAUUAUAAAAAUAAUACUAAUAGAAGUUAUUGUGAUGAGGAAAUAGUUGAGUACGAAGUUGAUUUUGAUAAUCAUUAUAUUGAAGCUAAAGAUGCGGAAGUGCAAACCUGUGAUAUUAAUAUUAAUAAAUUAAACCCACUAAUAUCUGUAUUCGAUGUUUGUAUGAAAGGCGGGAACGUGACUGGUUUUGUAGUCAAUAAUGAAGUGAUGAAACAAUUAAAAAACGAUCGUGUUGAAAAAGGUGUACAAACGGAAGAAAUAAAUAACAGUGACAUGACCCAGGCUGAAGACGCAAUUGACGAAGCCAAAGACUACGCAGAAAUGACUUCCGAUGGGAAAUACAUUAAACACGAAUACAUACACACGUACAACAUAGAUAAGUACAUGUGUCGGCCGUGUUUUCCGAAAUAUAUAGAAGUAUUAUCGAAAAAAACUGGUAUUGACGUUCUAGAAAUGUUUACGAAUGUCUACAACGAACGGGCAAUGUUCAAAAUGACGACAACACAGAGUGACAAAGAAGGAAAUACUAGGAUUUUAUAUGUCAAAAAUCCAGAUAAAAUAACACUGAAUUUGGAAAUGAAAAAAAGGAGGGAACUAGACAAUUGUUUAAAAGAAAUAUUGGUUUUGAAAGAGAAAGUAAAAGAAUUGGAAAUGAAGAAUUUGAAAUUAGAGACAAUUAAUAAGCAGUUAAUGACAUCGUUAAGAUAGAACUGUAAUAAGUUCACGCUUAUUUUAUGUAAUGUAUAGGCAGAGGUGCUAUUGGGGUUAUAUCCGUCCUCAUAAGAGACGAACCUAUUUAACAGGGCACAAAUUCCAUUUGGAUAUUACAUGUAAAGGUUAUAUAGUUAAUAAAUAUAAAAUGGAUCGUAAUUA